rnacentral:tRNA from 1 species
UGUGGCUCAGGGGUAGAGCAUUUGUCUAGCAUGCACAAGGUCCUGGGUUUGAUCCCCAGCA